GGUUAAGUGACUAAGCGUACACGGUGGAUGCCUAGGCAAUCAGAGGCUAUGAAGGACGUACUAAUCUGCGAAAAGCGCCGGUAAGCUGAUAUGAAGCGUUAUUAGCCGGUGAUAUCCGAAUGGGGCAACCCGAUGUAAGAUACAUCAUUAUUAAGUGAAUUCAUAACUUAAUGAAGCUAACCAGGAGAACUGAAACAUCUAAGUACCCUGAGGAAAAGAAAUCAACCGAGAUUCCCCUAGUAGUGGCGAGCGAACAGGGAGCAGCCCAGAGUCAUCAGCAACUUAUAUAUCAGGAAAACAGUCUGGAAAGUCUGGUAAUAAAGGGUGAUAGCCCCGUAUCCGAAGGUGUGUUUGUUGUGAACUCAAUGAGUAGGGCGGGACACGUGGUAUCCUGUCUGAAGAUGGGGGGACCAUCCUCCAAGGCUAAAUACUCCUGAUUGACCGAUAGUGAACAAGUACCGUGAGGGAAAGGUGGAAAGAACCCCGGUGAGGGGAGUGAAAUAGAACCUGAAACCGUGUACGUACAAGCAGUAGUAGCAUUUAUUUUUUAUAAGAAUGUGACUGCGUACCUUUUGUAUAAUGGGUCAGCGACUUAUAUUCUGUAGCAAGGUUAACUGAAUAAGGGAGCCGAAGGGAAACCGAGUCUUAACUGGGCGUUAAGUUGCAGGAUAUAGACCCGAAACCCGGUGAUCUAGUUAUGAGCAAGUUGAAGAUUAGGUAAUGCUAAUUGGAGGACUGAACCGACUAAUGUUGAAAAAUUAGCGGAUGACUUGUGAUUAGGGGUGAAAGGCCAAUCAAACCGGGAGAUAGCUGGUUCUCCCCGAAAGCUAUUUAGGUAGCGCCUUGUGAAUUCAUCUUCGGGGGUAGAGCGCUGUUUCGGUUAGGAAUCCAUCCCAGAUUAUCAACCCGAGGCAAACUACGAAUACCGAGGAAUGCUAUCACAGGAGACACACGGCGGGUGCUAACGUCCGUCGUGAAAAGGGAAACAACCCAGACCGCCAGCUAAGGUCCCAAAGUCAUAGUUAAGUGAUAGAACGAUGUGGGAAGGCUUAGACAGCCAGGAUGUUGGCUUAGAAGCAGCAAUCAUUUAAAGAAAGCGUAAUAGCUCACUGGUCGAGUCGGCUUGCGCGGAAGAUGUAACGGGGCUAAAUUAUGCACCGAAGCUGCGGCAACAGCUGUAUAAAAGAAAACAGUAAAACUAAAGUUAGUUGUUUUUUUUAUAUCUGUUGGGUAGGGGAGCGUUCUGUAAGCCUGUGAAGGUGUGCCGUAAGGCAUGCUGGAGGUAUCAGAAGUGCGAAUGCUGACAUAAGUAACGAUAAAGUAAGUGAAAAACUUACUCGCCGGAAGACCAAGGGUUCCUGUUCAACGUUAAUCGAAGCAGGGUGAGUCGACCCCUAAGGCGAGGUCGAAAGGCGUAGUCGAUGGGAAACAGGUUAAUAUUCCUGUACUAGAUAUAAUUGCGAAGGGGGGACGGAGAAAGCUAGAUUCGCCGUGCGACGGUUGUCACGGUUUAAACGUGUAGGUGGAAGAAGUAGGUAAAUCCGUUUUUUCAACACUGAGGCGUGAUGACGAACUACUACGGUAGUGAAGGAAUUAAUGCUAUGCUUCCAGGAAAAGCCUCUAAGCAUCAGAUUAUAUCGAAUCGUACCCCAAACCGACACAGGUGGUCAGGUAGAGAAUACUGAGGCGCUUGAGAGAACUCGGGUGAAGGAACUAGGCAAAAUAGUGCCGUAACUUCGGGAGAAGGCACACUGGUAUGUAGGUAAAAGGACAUGCUCCUAAAGCUGAGGCCAGUCGCAGAUACCAGCUGGCUGCAACUGUUUAUUAAAAACACAGCACUGUGCAAACACGAAAGUGGACGUAUACAGUGUGACGCCUGCCCGGUGCCGGAAGGUUAAUUGAUAGAGUAAUCCCUUAAAAGAGAAGCUUUUGAUCGAAGCCCCGGUAAACGGCGGCCGUAACUAUAACGGUCCUAAGGUAGCGAAAUUCCUUGUCGGGUAAGUUCCGACCUGCACGAAUGGCGUAAUGAUGGCCAGACUGUCUCCACCCGAGACUCAGUGAAAUUGAAUUCGCCGUGAAGAUGCGGUGUACCCGCGGCAAGACGGAAAGACCCCGUGAACCUUUACUAUAGCUUGAUACUGAAUAUUGAACAUUAAUGUGUAGGAUAGGUGGGAGGCUAUGAAGUGUAGAUGCUAGUCUAUAUGGAGCCGAUCUUGAAAUACCACCCUUUAAGGUUUAGUUUUCUAACUUAGAUCCGUAAUCCGGUUCGAGGACAGUGUCUGGUGGGUAGUUUGACUGGGGCGGUCUCCUCCCAAAGAGUAACGGAGGAGCACUAAGGUUAGCUAAUCACGGUCGGACAUCGUGAGUUUAGUGCAAAGGCAUAAGCUAGCUUAACUGCGAGAGCGACGGCUCGAGCAGGUGCGAAAGCAGGUCUUAGUGAUCCGGUGGUUCUGUAUGGAAAGGCCAUCGCUCAACGGAUAAAAGGUACUCCGGGGAUAACAGGCUAAUACCGCCCAAGAGCUCAUAUCGACGACGGUGUUUGGCACCUCGAUGUCGGCUCAUCACAUCCUGGGGCUGAAGUAGGUCCCAAGGGUAUGGCUGUU
rnacentral:rRNA from 1 species